rnacentral:rRNA from 1 species
UACGGAGGGGGCUAGCGUUGUUCGGAAUUACUGGGCGUAAAGCGCGCGUAGGCGGACCUGCAAGUCGGGGGUGAAAGCCCGAGGCUCAACCUCGGAACUGCCUUCGAUACUGCGGGUCUCGAGUCCGGGAGAGGUAAGUGGAAUUCCUAGUGUAGAGGUGAAAUUCGUAGAUAUUAGGAAGAACACCAGUGGCGAAGGCGGCUCACUGGCCCGGUACUGACGCUGAGGCGCGAAAGCGUGGGGAGCAAACAGG